ACCGCCACGGAUGGCGGUGGUUCCACUCAGAAACGAUGUUUUAAAAGCACAGCCCUUUUUAAAUGCUUUUAAAACUCGUAGGUGUUAUUUUAAUACGGAUGUUAAAAUAACACCGUUG
rnacentral:sRNA from 1 species